AUGAAGUUUGGGCUUCGGCCCUCUCUCUCUAAACACACUUGUGAAUCUACCCUGUUGCUUUGGCAGGUCUCUGUGCGGGUUGCGAAACCCGGAUGGUUAGACCGAGAGGUGCCUGCCAAGGACAUUCAAAAUCACCCUUUUAUUUUUCAAUUGUCUGACAAUCGUUUUUAAAACAAACAAAAUA
rnacentral:misc_RNA from 1 species